AUUUAGCCCCGAUUGCAGCAUUUGUCUGAGCUCAUUUUUCUUUUGCAAAAAGAAAAAUAGCGAGUGCGGAAAGCGGGAUUAAGC
rnacentral:misc_RNA from 1 species